AGUGGGGAAUAUUGGACAAUGGACCAAAGUCUGAUCCAGCAAUUCUGUGUGCACGAUGACGGUCUUAGGAUUGUAAAGUGCUUUCAAUCGGGAAAAAGAAAGUGAUGGUACCGAUAGAAGAAGCGACGGCUAAAUACGUGCCAGCAGCCGCGGUAAUACGUAUGUCGCAAGCGUUAUCCGGAUUUAUUGGGCGUAAAGCGCGUCUAGGCGGUUUGGUAAGUCUGAUGUGGAAAUGCGGGGCUCAACUCCGUAUUGCGUUGGAAACUGCCAGACUAGAGUACUGGAGAGGUGGGCGGAACUACAAGUGUAGAGGUGAAAUUCGUAGAUAUUUGUAGGAAUGCCGAUAGAGAAGUCAGCUCACUGGACAGAUACUGACACUGAAGCGCGAAAGCAUGGGGA
rnacentral:rRNA from 1 species